CCUUCCUCCUGCCAGGCUGGGCCUAAUUCUUUCUUAUUAGUCAGGCACUCUAAUUUGUGGUCUGACCACCUCCACUGUAACCGGCAGGGAGCCGCCCUCCUUCCCAAGUACUACCUGAGCCGACCUGCACUGAUAGGCUUUGUCCACUCUAGAACAACGUCUGGACACAACGGGAUAAGGAGUUCCAGAGACAACGUCAGGCCCAUCUUCACUGCUGGAUCCUUCACAUUCUUUGGGAUUCUGCAACUACGAUAUGCUAGCUACAUGUGUGCUGAACUGCAGGGCAUUACUCCUCAGGCGAGAGAAUCUUAAGAGUCCACGGCGUUGGACGUCAGUACCAAUCUCUGUCAAACGGGGUUCAUUGCAGUACCAGACCUAACCCCUAGAGGCUCACGCAAAACUCCUGCCUGGGAGUCACGACCUAUCGCGGGAUGGGGCGCGACCUCUAGCGGGAUGAAACCUGGCUUCUCCAAGGGUAGGGCGGGGCCUCUCGCGGGGUAGGGCGGGGCCUCACGCGGGAUGGGCGGGGCAUCUUGCAGGGCGAGGCCUGUUCUCAUAGAGCUGGUUCCCGCCGCUCAGCGGCAACGGCGUCCUGAAGAAAACGCUGGGCGGGCGCCAGUCUCGAGGAACGCAGCCCUCGGAGGCGCCGGCGCGGGCCCGCAGGUCCUGCUCAGAAGCUGGCCUUCCCAAGAUGCCUUCCCAGGCAGCUUCCUAAAGCACACCUUGGUCACUGCAGGUCCCCCUCCCCUCAGCACUGCUUGCAAAUGUAGGCCAGUAGGCCAGGACAUUGCUGAGAAGAUGACUCCUUACGGUUCCCACAGGAGGGAUGUGCGACCUCGUGAGCUUCCCAUUAGACCGCUGCAUGUUAAAGCGCACAAAGAGUCCAAAAGUCGUUCCAGAGUUGGCCUGAAGUCGAGUUCCAAGCAAAAGACCACCAUUUUCAGCACACUGGGCAGUGAGAAGUCCUUAUCUGACUGCAAAAAGCUGCCACUGGGCCUGCCACUCACGUGAUGGGAAGGAGGCUCAAAGAGGCCCAGCAGAAGCUGCUGAGUGGACCUGCAGAGACAGAGGACCCAGAGGAUGAAUUCCUGGGCAGAAACAUCCUGGGGCGUAGGUGAGGAGCUGUCCACAU
rnacentral:lncRNA from 1 species